GGGGGCUUCCUCCCAAUUGUGUAGAAGAAACAGGCAAUACAGAAGGAAACAGUGAGAGGAAAGAGGAUGUUUGGAUAAGAUUCUCCCAGCCAACUUGCAUCUCCUUACCGUGAAGGAAUUUACAUCGGCAUCCUGUGCUCAUGAAAAGCACAAAACUCUCCUUCAGCUGUCACCUCAUCUUCGAGAUGUAGGACAAACCAUAGCUACAGAGGUCAGGUUGUAGAAGCCUGGUCAUGGAUUUGCCCACAGAAACUGGAUAAAUUGAUCAAAAACAGAGGUGUGGGGUUUUUUGUAAGUAAUUCCUAAAGUUUAUAUUUUUAAACAUGUAAUAACAGUGGAAAUUUGA
rnacentral:lncRNA from 1 species